AUGGCAUUGGAGAGCGGAAGAGACCAUGAAGCUGAACAUCGAUGGAUUGCUGGUUUAUUUCCCCUACGAUUACAUCUACCCCGAACAGUAUUCGUACAUGCUGGAGCUCAAGAGGACGUUAGAUGCCAAGGGCCAUGGGGUGCUGGAGAUGCCUUCGGGUACCGGGAAGACCAUCUCCCUCUUGUCGCUCAUCGUGGCCUACCAGCGAGCUCACCCUCUGGAGGUUUCCAAGCUUAUCUACUGCUCCAGAACGGUGCCGGAGAUUGAAAAGGUAAGAG
rnacentral:lncRNA from 1 species